rnacentral:lncRNA from 1 species
ACAGAAGACGAAGAGCUGGAAUAGAGCUCGCCUCGGCUCUGCUGGCCUUGGCUGCAGCUCUUCCAGAAACCCGGGGCGCCCACAGAAGAAUCUCUUACCUGGCUCUCUCUUCAGGGAUGACAUCAUCGGCUCACACCAGUCUUCCAGGACCACCUUCUGGAUGCCAAGGCUGCUGCUCGAGUACCUGCUGUGCACCUCUACCUCCUGGUACCCCAGCCACUCCCUCAAGUUGCCUGCAUGUUAUAUGGCCUAGCCAAGGAGCACGGAUUCCAGGAACCCACUACCAUACAGAGCAACUCCUUGUGGACCCCCCUGGGAUCAGGACAGCGAGGGACAAGCGACAAAGAGGAUCAUCAGUGGCCAGCUAGUUUCUCUGGGGUUCAAACCUUGAACCAGUGCCCUAGUGAGGGGGCACUGGCCAUGGCCCUUGACCUUUGCUCUGCUUGUGUCUUGAGUCUGAGCCCUUUCCUGUACAUCUGUGCUCGUGUUCAUCUGCUAGUGAACUGGAGUGCUGCCCUCCCCGAGGAGGGUCGUCCCUUGUGACUGAUCAUGCUGUCCUAACAAUGUCCUGAGCAAAAGGGUCCCUUUGGGAACCUCUCAGGAGGGGGACCCGGGUCAGGGGCGACCAGCAUCUUGCUGGCAACUCCGUGGGUGGGGUGGGGUGGGGUGCUUCCUUCUGGAAUGAGCACGUGGCUGACCCCCCAAGGCAUGUCCCCUCCCCCUCCUCCACCCACCUUCUCGGAGAUGUCCCUUUUGGGGUAGUGGGGACAUUAGGAGCAACCUCCUAGGGUUGUUGUGAGAAUUAAAUGAACUGCAGCAGCCUGAGGCAGGGCUGGGCAGAGACCUCAGCACAUGUUUGUUGAAAGGUUUGCAGGUGGAUCUAGUCCUCCCGUUCAUGGCUCAUGUGUCUCAACCAUUCUCUCGCAGACUCCUGCAGCCCCUAUGCCCAGGGCUCUCCUUGCGCCAGCCCCGGCUUCUCGAGGCCUGUCUACACUCGCUGCUUUCCUUCCUCACCUCCAAUUUCCCCUCCAACCCACUGCUUCCUGACUCGCUCUUCUCCAUCGAACGGCUCUCGCUCAGGUUUAAGGCUUGGCUUGCUGGCCCUGGAGAUCCCGUCGCCGUCUUCGUCGAACUCGAAAUCCUAGCCAUCGUCCUUCCCUGGCCUGUCGCGUCUUCCUGUGCCAUUUGCUGUUGUGCUCAGGUUCCACGAGCUGCCCAUCUCCACAGAAGAGCAGCUGGCAUUGCCCACCGGCCAUGCCGGCUGAAGAAAAGAAGACUGAGGACCCCAGGAUGCCCAGCGCGAGGACCCCAGGAAGCCCAGCGCGAGGACUCCACCCACGACGCCCAGCGCGAGGACUUCACGCACAACACGUUGCAACCCUCCUGGAUUAGGCCAAAGCCAUCAUCUGGAAUCCUGCGUGGGACCCUGGACACACGGACACAGACACCUGCCCCCAGGACCCUCCAACUGUAAAUCCCUCUACAGCCACGGGGACGCCUUGCACAUUUCCUGUGGGACAUGCUGGACCCAAGACUCUGGACCCUGGCCUCCCCUUGAGUAGAGAGACCCACCUACUGACUGAUGAACUGCGCUGACCCUGGGGUCAGGCAUGUGGCCUUGAUCCCUACCCAUGGACCCUGAGACUUGGGGGGGUGGGAGAAAGGCUGUUGUGUCUUCACUGUUGAGUCUACAUCUGUGAAAUGGGCUCAGGUUCCUACCUCACAGGGCUGUUGUGAGGCAGCCGCAAUGUGCUUAGAAGCAUGGGGCCUAGUGGCUCAUGGUGCUUUCAAUAAAUUUCUUGUUUUAACUAAAGCAGU